GUUUGACCUCAAAUCAGGUAGGAUUACCCGCUGAACUUAAGCAUAUCAAUAAGCGGAGGAAAAGAAACCAACAGGGAUUGCCUUAGUAACGGCGAGUGAAGCGGCAAAAGCUCAAAUUUGAAAUCUGGCACCUUCGGUGUCCGAGUUGUAAUUUGAAGAAGGUAACCUUGGGGUUGGCUCUUGUCUAUGUUUCUUGGAACAGAACGUCACAGAGGGUGAGAAUCCCGUGCGAUGAGAUGCCCAAUUCUAUGUAAGGUGCUUUCGAAGAGUCGAGUUGUUUGGGAAUGCAGCUCUAAGUGGGUGGUAAAUUCCAUCUAAAGCUAAAUAUUGGCGAGAGACCGAUAG
rnacentral:rRNA from 1 species